rnacentral:rRNA from 1 species
UACGUAGGGUGCAAGCGUUGUCCGGAAUUAUUGGGCGUAAAGAGCUCGUAGGCGGUUUGUUGCGUCGGCUGUGAAAUCCCGAGGCUCAACCUCGGGUCUGCAGUCGAUACGAGCAAACUAGAGUGUUGCAGGGGAGACUGGAAUUCCUGGUGUAGCGGUGAAAUGCGCAGAUAUCAGGAGGAACACCGGUGGCGAAGGCGGGUCUCUGGGCAACAACUGACGCUGAUGAGCGAAAGCUAGGGGAGCAAACAGG